rnacentral:rRNA from 1 species
GACGAACGCUGGCGGCGUGCUUAACACAUGCAAGUCGAACGGAAAGGCCCUGCUUUUGUGGGGUGCUCGAGUGGCGAACGGGUGAGUAACACGUGAGUAACCUGCCCUAGACUUUGGGAUAACUUCAGGAAACUGGGGCUAAUACCGGAUAGGAGCUCCUGCUGCAUGGUGGGGGUUGGAAAGUUUCGGCGGUUGGGGAUGGACUCGCGGCUUAUCAGCUUGUUGGUGGGGUAGUGGCUUACCAAGGCUUUGACGGGUAGCCGGCCUGAGAGGGUGACCGGCCACAUUGGGACUGAGGUACGGCCCAGACUCGUACGGGAGGCAGCAGUGGGGAAUAUUGCACAAUGGGCGGAAGCCUGAUGCAGAAACGCCGCGUGCGGGAUGACGGCCUUCGGGUUGUAAACCGCUUUCGCCUGUGACGAAGCGUGAGUGACGGUAAUGGGUAAAGAAGCACCGGCUAACUACGUG